GGCCCGAUAGCUCAGUUGGUAGAGCAGCGGAUUGAAAAUCCGCGUGUCGUUGGUUCGAUUCCGACUCAGGCCACCA
rnacentral:tRNA from 2 species